ensembl:lncRNA
GGAGCAUAGGCGACCACCACCGAAAGAGGCCACCAUGAGCUGCCUGGGGUGAGUAAGGGGUGAGCCCCUUGCUAGGAGAAUCAUAAGAGGGGAAAAAAAGAAAAAAGUUAUUUCUAGAGCCGAAUUUGCCGCGGAGAUGAUGCGCUGGCUCUGAGGGCUUCCUGGGGAGCUGAUUGACAGGCAGCCCCCCCCGUCCCGCCCCUCCCCACCAGGGAUGGGCCAGCGGGGCGCAGGCGGCCCAGCUGUCCCCCAGGAAGUUGGCUCGCUAGUCUCCAGGCUGCUGGCAGCCGGGCUCGGCUGGAGGCCCUCUCGGUUCUCCUCCUCUCCCCAGAGCGCUGCCGGCGUCUGUUCCUGCCCCUCUCCCGGGCCAGCCCGCCUGCCCCCCGGGACAUCCCCAAGCCCGCCUUUCCCAGCCACUGUUGGUCCCCAAGCCGCCGGCAGCCGCGGCAGCAGGUCGGGCAGGGCGCGGGAGGGGGAACACCCUUGGGUGCGCUCGAUUUAGAGCCCGGGCAGCGGGAGCCCUGGACACCUGGGGAUGCCCGGUCCCCGCAGCCUGAAACGGCAGCCUCAGCUGUAAGCGCCAGGAAAAGUGGGGAGGCUGCUGGAGGAAGGGGCGGCGCCCAGCUGGGCUUUGCAAGGAGAAUAUUACCCUGGCAGUAGGGCUUCAGCCACCCUCCACCUCUUCAAACCCCCACUUCCCAACAACCCCCUCCCCAGGGCUGGCCUGUCACCCAUGGCCCCACAGUGUGCUGGCCUCUAGGGUGGCAGCAAUCUCUGGGCAGCCCUAUCUGGAGAGAGGUCAGAGGGGGCAUGAAGGAGCCACAGACGCAGCUGUGAUUCCCACGGUUGAGUGCCAGUUGAUGGCUAACUCAGCACAGAGCAACCAGGGCAGGCUUCUUGGAGGAGGCAGCAGGAGGUGGCGGUGCUGUGGCUUAGUGACUGGUGGAGUCUGGUGGUGCCUCCUGUGGAUGUGGGAGGACGGUCCCCAAGGAGAGUUCAGAUAGGCCAGGUGCUAGCCACAGAGCAGAGGGCAGUGCCACCCUGGCCUGUGGCAUCCAACAGUCCCCAGCUGUGAACCAACCAACAGGGAGUAGAGGGGACCACAGAGAGCCACCACUUGGGCCCUAGGACCCCACACUGAGGAGAGACAAGGUUUAAUUUUUUUAAGAAUUUAUAAAUAGAGACAGGGUCUCACUAUCUUGCCCAGGCUGGCCUGGCCUCAAGAGAUCCUCCCAUCUCAGCCUCCCAAAGUUCUGGGAUUACAGGUGUGAGCCACUGUGCCCCACCAAGAGGUAAGAUUUAAGUGAGAGGUUGAAUAGCCAAAGGGUGGUAGGCAAAAAAAUAUACACAUGUGUGUGUGUCAAAGCUCUGCAAGGAGGCCAGGACCCACCCAAAUCAGAGAGGUGUGGCCUCACUAAAGGGUGAUCCCAGUGGCCAACAUGGAAGGCUUAGGGAGAAGUAGAAGGGACCAGUGACACCAUGAAGCUGGGCCAUCUGGCACACUAGCCACUAGCCACAUAUGGUUAUUUAAAGUUAAAUGUGGCUGGGCAUGGUGGCUUAUGCCUGUAAUUCCAGCACUUUAGGAGGCCGAGGCGGGUGGAUCACCUGAGGUCAGGAAUUUGAGACCAGCCUGGCCAACAUAGUGAAACCCCGUCUCUACUAAAAAUACAACAAUUAGCCGGGCAGGGCCCGGCGCGGUGGCUCACACCUGUAAUCCCAGCAAUUUGGGAGGCUGAGGCGGGCAGAUCACCUAAGGUUGGGAGUUUGAGACCAGCCUGACCAACAUGGAGAAAUCCCAUCUCUACUGAAAAUACAAAAUUAGCUGGGUGUGGUGGCACAUGCCUGUAAUCCCAGCUACUCGGGAGGCUGAGGCAGGAGAAUUGCUUGAACAUGGGAGGCGGAGAUUGCAGUGAGCCAAGAUCACGCCAUUGCACUCCAGCCUGGGCAACAGGAGUGAAACUCUGUCUCAAAAAAAAAAAAAAAAAA